GAAAGAUGAAAAGGACUUUGAAAAGAGAGUCAAAGAGUGCUUAAAAUUGUCGGGAGGGAACCGGAUGGGGCCUGGCGAUGGUCCCUGGAUGGAUGUGAAACGGUGAAAGCCGGUCUGCCACUCGGCGGCGCCUCAAGCCCGGGUUGUUGCGUUAUGCUCGUGGAGACGUCGUCGUCGCGAUCGUGGAAGGCAGCAUGCACCCUUAGGCAUGCCUUGGAACCUGCGUGCUCCGGGCAUCGGCCUAUGGGCUCCCCAUUUGGCCUGUCUUGAAACACAG
rnacentral:ncRNA from 1 species